rnacentral:rRNA from 15 species
UAAGCCAUGCAUGUCUAAGUAUAAGCAAGUACAAAGUGAAACUGCGAAUGGCUCAUUAUAUAAGUUAUCGUUUAUUUGAUAUUGCCUAUCCUACAUGGAUAACAGUGGUAAUUCUAGAGCUAAUACAUGCUGAAAAUCCCGACUUCGGAAGGGACGUAUUUAUUAGAAUCAGAACCAAUGCCCUUCGGGGUUCCUUGGUGACUCAUGAUAACUCCACAGAUCGCAUGGCCUUGCGCCGGC